rnacentral:rRNA from 1 species
ACUCGACUACAUGAAGCUGGAAUCGCUAGUAAUCGCGGAUCAGAAUGCCGCGGUGAAUACGUUCCCGGGUCUUGUACACACCGCCCGUCACACCAUGGGAGUCGAUAACGCCCGAAGUCAGUGACCCAACCGUUAAGGAGGGAGCUGCCGAAGGCGGGAUUGAUAACUGGGUGAAGUCGUAACAAGGUAUC